UGACUUUAUUUUACAUAUACAUCAGUCAAUGG
rnacentral:piRNA from 1 species